CGGGGUACUCGAGCGGCGAACGGGUGAGUAACACGUGAGCAACCUGCCCCAAGCUUUGGGAUAACCCCGGGAAACCGGGGCUAAUACCGAAUAGGACCUUUGGCCGCAUGGCCGGGGGUGGAAAGUUUUUCGGCUUGGGAUGGGCUCGCGGCCUAUCAGCUUGUUGGUGGGGUGAUGGCCUACCAAGGCGACGACGGGUAGCCGGCCUGAGAGGGCGACCGGCCACACUGGGACUGAGACACGGCCCAGACUCCUACGGGAGGCAGCAGUGGGGAAUAUUGCACAAUGGGCGGAAGCCUGAUGCAGCGACGCCGCGUGAGGGAUGACGGCCUUCGGGUUGUAAACCUCUUUCAGCAGGGACGAAGCGAGAGUGACGGUACCUGCAGAAGAAGCACCGGCCAACUACGUGCCAGCAGCCGCGGUAAGACGUAGGGUGCGAGCGUUGUCCGGAUUUAUUGGGCGUAAAGAGCUCGUAGGCGGCUUGUCGCGUCGACCGUGAAAACUUGGGGCUCAACCCCAAGCCUGCGGUCGAUACGGGCAGGCUAGAGUUCGGUAGGGGAGACUGGAAUUCCUGGUGUAGCGGUGAAAUGCGCAGAUAUCAGGAGGAACACCGGUGGCGAAGGCGGGUCUCUGGGCCGAUACUGACGCUGAGGAGCGAAAGCGUGGGGAGCGAACAGGAUUAGAUACCCUGGUAGUCCACGCUGUAAACGUUGGGCGCUAGGUGUGGGGGGCCUCUCCGGUUCCCUGUGCCGCAGCUAACGCAUUAAGCGCCCCGCCUGGGGAGUACGGCCGCAAGGCUAAAACUCAAAGGAAUUGACGGGGGCCCGCCAAGCGGGGGAGCAUGCGGAUUAUUCGAU
rnacentral:rRNA from 1 species